rnacentral:siRNA from 1 species
GUUAAAAUGGUUGCAAAAAUGUA